UUUAGUGCAACCAUGUUAGGAAAAGCUAUGUGCUAAGUGUAGUGAGCACGCCAAAUACAGUGAGAGGAAAAAAAAUAAAAGAAAUCUGACCUGUUAGUAGCAUGGUGGGCCACAGCACUGUGCUGUGCUGUGAGCCUGGUCUGUCUCCAUCUAAGUUUCUUUAAUGAGAAAACAAAUAAAAUAUUCAAAAAAGAAAUUUUUUUUUUUUUUUUUUGAGACAGAGUCUCGCUCUGUCGCCCAGGCUGGAGUGCAGUGGCGCGAUCUCGGCUCACUGCAAGCUCCGCCUCCCGCGUUCACGUCGUUCUCCACCUCAGCCUCCCGAGUAGCUGGGACUACAUGCGCCCGCCAUCACACCAGGCUAAUUUUUUGUAUUUUUAGUAGAGACGGGGUUUCACCGUGUUAGCCAGGAUGGUCUCGAUCUCCUGACCUCGUGAUCCACCCGCCUCAGCCUCCCAAAGUGCUGGGAUUACAGGCGUGAGCUACUGCGCCCGGCCUAAAAUAUAUAUUAUGUGUAUAUACAUAGAUUUUUAAUUUAAUAAUAUUCCAUUGCUUAGAUGUACCACAGUUCAUUCAUCAGUUGAAAGGCCUUUGAGAUGCUCCCUCUUUGGGCAAUUAUGAAUAAUGUCACAAUCAACAUUUGCAUGCAGAUUUUGUGUGAACAUAAGAGUAAUUUCUCUUGGACUGGCAUGCCUGCUUUGUAUGGAUUGGUGAAGUGCUAAUAUUUAUUCCACUCCUGUCUUCUGAGCUCUAACCAAAUUGAGAACAACUACAAAAAAUGAGUAAUGUCAAGUAAGUCACCAGCAGAGAUCACAUUCAAGGGGAUUGGAUUACACAGAAAUGAAGAGCUGAAGUGAUUAAAAAGAAUUAUUGAAGAUGUACCGGAGAAUAAUUUGUGGCCCCUUUUUAAAAUAUGAGUAAAUGUAUUAAAAUCUUUUAAAAUCAAAUAACUUUUCU
rnacentral:lncRNA from 10 species